UAUGUUUUCCGCGGUUACUCACAUUGGUAUAUAUAUAAGAAAUCUCGGCCAAUUCCUAUAGUUCAGGGAAAGGACACUUCUGAUCUUGAGUUUCACAUUUAAGAAUAAUUACAAACCGAACAGAAUGAGAUUAUUUGCUAUUUGUGUCAUCCUGAUGGUUGCUCUAGCAAGUUUCAGUGUUAGUGCUAUGGAAGAUAGUGGACGCUAUAAGAGAAACAUAUUUUGGGGUGGCAGAAGAGGAUGGGGUGGUGGAUAUAGAGGAGGUUUUGGUGGUGGAUUCGGAAGAGGUUGGGGAGGUGGAUUCAGAAGAGGUUGGGGAGGUGGAUAUCGUGGAUAAAAUACUUAUGUGAAGGCUUACGACCUAUUGAAUGCAGCAUAUUGACCUGUUAUGAAUUUUGUUAUUUUAGAAUUUCUGUAAUAAAUUGCAUCACUAAAAUGUA